rnacentral:rRNA from 1 species
CCUACGGGAGGCAGCAGUGAGGAAUAUUGGUCAAUGGCCGCAGGGCUGAACCAGCCAAGUCGCGUGAGGGAUGACGGUCCUAUGGAUUGUAAACCUCUUUUGUCAGGGAGCAAAGGGCGCCACGUGUGGCGUUUUGCGAGUACCUGAAGAAAAAGCAUCGGCUAACUCCGUGCCAGCAGCCGCGGUAAUACGGAGGAUGCGAGCGUUAUCCGGAUUUAUUGGGUUUAAAGGGUGCGCAGGCGGAAUGUCAAGUCAGCGGUAAAAUUGCGGGGCUCAACCCCGUCGAGCCGUUGAAACUGGCGGUCUUGAGUGAGCGAGAAGUAUGCGGAAUGCGUGGUGUAGCGGUGAAAUGCAUAGAUAUCACGCAGAACUCCGAUUGCGAAGGCAGCAUACCGGCGCUCAACUGACGCUCAUGCACGAAAGCGUGGGUAUCGAACAGGAUUAGAUACCCCGGUAGUC